AAUACCGGAUAAGCCCUUACGGGGAAAGAUUUAUCGCCGAAAGAUCGGCCCGCGUCUGAUUAGCUAGUUGGUGAGGUAAUGGCUCACCAAGGCGACGAUCAGUAGCUGGUCUGAGAGGAUGAUCAGCCACAUUGGGACUGAGACACGGCCCAAACUCCUACGGGAGGCAGCAGUGGGGAAUAUUGGACAAUGGGCGCAAGCCUGAUCCAGCCAUGCCGCGUGAGUGAUGAAGGCCCUAGGGUUGUAAAGCUCUUUUGUGCGGGAAGAUAAUGACGGUACCGCAAGAAUAAGCCCCGGCUAACUUCGUGCCAGCAGCCGCGGUAAUACGAAGGGGGCUAGCGUUGCUCGGAAUCACUGGGCGUAAAGGGUGCGUAGGCGGGUCUUUAAGUCAGGGGUGAAAUCCUGGAGCUCAACUCCAGAACUGCCUUUGAUACUGAAGAUCUUGAGUUCGGGAGAGGUGAGUGGAACUGCGAGUGUAGAGGUGAAAUUCGUAGAUAUUCGCAAGAACACCAGUGGCGAAGGCGGCUCACUGGCCCCGAUACUGACGCUGAGGCACGAAAGCGUGGGGAGCAAACAGGAUUAGAUACCCCUGGUAGUCCACGCCGUAAACGAUGAAUGCCAGCCGUUAGUGGGUUUACUCACUAGUGGCGCAGCUAACGCUUUAAGCAUUCCGCCUGGGGAGUACGGUCGCAAGAUUAAAACUCAAAGGAAUUGACGGGGGCCCGCACAAGCGGUGGAGCAUGUGGUUUAAUUCGACGCAACGCGCAGAACCUUACCAGCCCUUGACAUCCCGGUCGCGGACUCCAGAGACGGAGUUCUUCAGUUCGGCUGGACCGGAGACAGGUGCUGCAUGGCUGUCGUCAGCUCGUGUCGUGAGAUGUUGGGUUAAGUCCCGCAACGAGCGCAACCCCCGUCCUUAGUUGCUACCAUUUAGUUGAGCACUCUAAGGAGACUGCCGGUGAUAAGCCGCGAGGAAGGUGGGGAUGACGUCAAGUCCUCAUGGCCCUUACGGGCUGGGCUACACACGUGCUACAAUGGCGGUGACAAUGGGAUGCUAAGGGGCGACCCUUCGCAAAUCUCAAAAAGCCGUCUCAGUUCGGAUUGGGCUCUGCAACUCGAGCCCAUGAAGUUGGAAUCGCUAGUAAUCGUGGAUCAGCACGC
rnacentral:rRNA from 1 species